GCGGGGCGAUGGCGGUGGACCUGGGUUGAAGGAGGAGAAAGCGAGAAGGCUCCAGCAGUAGCACGGCAGCGCGGCGGACCUUGCAUAAGUGUCCAUGCCAUCGGGAUCCGCUGCUUUUUCCCCAAAUGCUUUUCAGCGGGAAGGAAUUGUGAACCCCCUCCCGUCUUCGUUAUUCUGCCAUAAGACGACGCCACUCUUUAUCUUUGCCCCCAAAAAUUGCAGUGGGAAGGUGCCGCUGUUAUGGUUCUCCGUAUCAUCUGCAACGGAGGGAAGAGACGCAAAAUGCUGCAGUGAAGCACAAGUUGGGGGAGCCUGAUCGCAAAACAAAGGGACCCGUUUCAUUCCACGAAAACAAAAUAGAACAAUGAUAGAAAAUUAUAACAAUAAAAAAAUAAAUAAAAGGAAUUAUUUCUGCACGCCAGCUACAGCGUUAAUACGCCGCCUUCCACCGCGGCUCUCUCUCCGCCUCCCCUACCAGCCGCUGACGGAGAGAAAAUAAGACCGAUCGCCAAGGGGCUCCAAAAAAAAAAAAAAAAA